GAUGAACGCUGGCGGCGUGCCUAAUACAUGCAAGUCGAGCGAACGGACGAGAAGCUUGCUUCUCUGAUGUUAGCGGCGGACGGGUGAGUAACACGUGUAUAACCUACCUAUAAGACUGGGAUAACUUCGGGAAACCGGAUCUAAUACCGGAUAAUAUUUUGAACCGCAUGGUUCAAAAGUGAAAGACGGUCUUGCUGUCACUUAUAGAUGGAUCCGCGCUGCAUUAGCUAGUUGGUAAGGUAACGGCUUACCAAGGCAACGAUGCAUAGCCGACCUGAGAGGGUGAUCGGCCACACUGGAACUGAGACACGGUCCAGACUCCUACGGGAGGCAGCAGUAGGGAAUGUUCCGCAAUGGGCGAAAGCCUGACGGAGCAACGCCGCGUGAGUGAUGAAGGUCUUCGGAUCGUAAAGCUCUGUUAUUAGGGAAGAACAUAUGUGUAAGUAACUGUGCACAUCUUGACGGUACCUAAUCAGAAAGCAACGGCUAACUACGUG
rnacentral:rRNA from 1 species